AGAGUUUGAUCCUGGCUCAGAUUGAACGCUGGCGGCAGGCCUAACACAUGCAAGUCGAGCGGUAGAGAGGUGCUUGCACCUCUUGAGAGCGGCGGACGGGUGAGUAAUACCUAGGAAUCUGCCUGGUAGUGGGGGAUAACGUUCGGAAACGGACGCUAAUACCGCAUACGUCCUACGGGAGAAAGCAGGGGACCUUCGGGCCUUGCGCUAUCAGGUGAGCCUAGGUCGGAUUAGCUAGUUGGUGAGGUAAUGGCUCACCAAGGCUACGAUCCGUAACUGGUCUGAGAGGAUGAUCAGUCACACUGGAACUGAGACACGGUCCAGACUCCUACGGGAGGCAGCAGUGGGGAAUAUUGGACAAUGGGCGAAAGCCUGAUCCAGCCAUGCCGCGUGUGUGAAGAAGGCCUUCGGAUUGUAAAGCACUUUAAGUUGGGAGGAAGGGCAUUAACCUAAUACGUUAGUGUUUUGACGUUACCGACAGAAUAAGCACCGGCUAACUCUGUGCCAGCAGCCGCGGUAAUACAGAGGGUGCAAGCGUUAAUCGGAAUUACUGGGCGUAAAGCGCGCGUAGGUGGUUUGUUAAGUUGAAUGUGAAAUCCCCGGGCUCAACCUGGGAACUGCAUCCAAAACUGGCAAGCUAGAGUAUGGUAGAGGGUAGUGGAAUUUCCUGUGUAGCGGUGAAAUGCGUAGAUAUGGGAAGGAACACCAGUGGCGAAGGCGACUACCUGGACUGA
rnacentral:rRNA from 1 species